rnacentral:rRNA from 1 species
AAGACGGGGAUAACCUUCGAAAGGAGGGCUAAUACCCGAUGUGCUUGCACCGUUUAGAAGGGUGUAAGUAAAGCUCCGGCGCUUCGGGAGGGGCCAGCGGCCUAUCAGCUAGUUGGUAGGGUAAUGGCCUACCAAGGCGAAGACGGGUAGGGGGCGUGAGAGCGCGGCCCCCCACAAUGGAACUGAGACACGGUCCAUACUCCUUCGGGAGGCAGCAGUGAGGAAUAUUGCACAAUGGGGGAAACCCUGAUGCAGCGACGCCGCGUGGGUGAAGAAGGCCUUCGGGUCGUAAAACCCUUUUCCAGGGGACGAGGCAGGACGGUACCCUGGGAAUAAGUCCCGGCUAACUACGUGCCAGCAGCCGCGGUAAAACGUAGGGGGCGAGCGUUAUCCGGAAUCACUGGGCGUAAAGCGCGUGCAGGCGGUCUGGUAGGUUGGACGUGAAAGCUCCUGGCUUAACUAGGAGAGGCCGUUCAAAACCGCCAGGCUUGAGGGCGGAAGAGGGGAGUGGAAUUCCCGGUGUAGCGGUGGAAUGCGCAGAUAUCGGGAGGAACACCCGUGGCGAAAGCGGCUCCCUGGUCCGCACCUGACGCUCAGACGCGAAAGCGUGGGGAGCGAACGGGAUUUAGAUACCCCGGUAGUCCACGCCGUAAACGAUGGAUGCUAGGUGUGGGAGGUCUUGACCCCUUCCGUGCCGUAGCUAACGCGUUAAGCAUCCCGCCUGGGGACUACGGCCGCAAGGUUAAAACUCAAAGGAAUUGACGGGGGCCCGCACAAGCAGCGGAGCGUGUGGUUUAAUUCGAUGCUACACGAAGAACCUUACCUGGGCUUGACAUGUACGUGGUAGGGAAGCGAAAGCGGACCGACCCUUCGGGGAGCGUACACAGGUGCUGCAUGGCUG